rnacentral:lncRNA from 1 species
UCGAAUUAAAUGGAAGUCAAUUACUGAAAUAAAGUGCGGAAGACCAUAACAACCGAAUCAUCCAACUACAUCCCUGAAUCUGGUGUCACAAGUGUACGAGCUACUAGAAUUAUACAAAUAUAGGUCUGAAUAAAAUUCAAAUUAUUUGAAAGAUAAUACACAGCUAAGAUAAGAUAGAAGGAGACUUCAGAACUGCGGACGCUGUGCAGUUAUACCUCAAGUCUCCUCUGGGUAGCUGAAUCCGAGAAGUCUAUGGUACGUCGCUGGGACCAACUCCAAAAUCUGCACAAGAAGUACAGAAUGUAGUAUGAGUACAAUCAAUCCCAUGUACUCCGUAAGUGCCGAGCCUAACCUUGACAAAGUAGUGACGAGGCUAUAACAAGACACGUACGUAAAUAACAUGUACAAGCAUAUACAAAUACGAAGCAACAAUAAUACAAAAAUUAACAAUUUAUAAAUUUGGGAAGGAACAUACGAAGGGGAAUGAUAUAGAAAUUUCAGCAGGAGAAAUGUCACGUAGCAUCCAAUUAAUUCAUCAACAAUAAAAUGAGCAGCUGAUAAUAUGAAACUGGCACGGCACCACCCUUCGUGCUUUUACUCUCAUUCUUCCCAUAAAUUUAUAAAUAAAUAAUAAAAUUGGCACGGCAUCACCCUUCGUGCUUUAACUCUCUUCUGGCACGGCAUCACCUUUCGUGCUUUAACUCUCUUCUGGCACGGCAUCACCCUUUGUGCUUUUUUUCACUUUUUCUUACCAUGACAAGGAUAAUAUAAAUAAUAUAAAUGGUACGGCAUCACACUUCGUGCUUUUACACUCUUCCUUAUCAUGAAAAUAAUAAUAUAAAUUCGGAAGAGUAUUUAAAUGCGGGGAUAUAUACUUAUCAAUCAAUUCAAUACCAGAAUACCAACCUCACUUUCCAAAAUAUUCAACAAUAAUUAAACUAGCAAUAAUCUCAUGAAAAUUGAUCAAAUAAACAAUAAUAACUUAAGCAAGAAUAUCUUAAUUAAAUAGGUAAUUAUUCACAAUAAAUAAACUUUACUCGCAUGCUUUGACUCAACCACAAUGCAUAAGUACUCGUCACCUCACAUAUACAUUGUACCCGCACAUUAAAUCACGUAGCGAAUAGACAAAUAAGUCCUACUCCCUCAAGUCAAGGUUAACCAUGACACUUACCUCGCUUUGCAACCAACUCAAGAUUCCAAUAAACCUUUGCCUCGCAAAUUAUUGUCGGAAUGCCUCAAAUCUAGUCACAAACAAUUCAAUAUACUCAAUAUAAAUUAUAAAAACUAAUUCUAUAUGAAAAUACUAGAUUUUUCAAUCAAAAUCUGAAAUUCAAUUCAAAACCCGAUAGUGGGGUCCACGUCUCGAAAUCUGACAAAAGUUACAAAAUAUGAACGCCCAUUCAACCGAUGGUAAUUCAAUAUUAUUCACUAAUAAUGAUCACAAGUCACUUAUCUCAAGUUUUUCCCUGAAUUCUUGCUCAAAAAAUACCCCAACCCGUACUUGAAAUGUCCAAAAAUAAAAAAAAUCUAGGAACCCCUCUGGUUUUAACACUGCCAGUGUUUUCGCAUUUGCGAUGCAUUUGGCCGCAUCUGCGGUCUCGCAGAUGCGAGGGUGGAGGUCGCUUCUGCGAUUGGCUCGCUUCUGUGGACAAGAGUCCGCUUCUGCGGUUCAAGGCCCCUUAGCCCAGGCCGCAUCUGCGACCAUUGCAUCGCUUCUGCGGUCGCGCGUCUGCGAUGCCCCGUCCGCUUCUGCAGACCAUCCGCUUCUGCGAGGCCAGGCUUGCUUCCGCGAGCUCGCACCUGCUGUCAAAAAUCCGCAGGUGCGAUUGCACCAGAAGGCCAAAAUUUCAGAUUUUCCUUAAGUCCAAAUUUUGAUCCAUUAACCAUCCGGAUUCCACCCGAGGCCCCCGGGACCUCAACCAAAUACACCAACAAGUCCCAAAACAUCAUAUGAACUUAGUCGAAAUAUCAAAUCACAUCAAACAAUGCUAAAACCACGAAUCAUACCCCAAUUUAAACUUAAGAAUUUUUAACUUCUACAUUCGAUGCCGAAACCUAUCAAAUCAAGUCCGAUUAAAUUUUGCACACAAGUCUUAAAUGACAUAACGGACCUUUUUAGAACUAGAUUCCGACUCCGAUAUCAAUAAAAGUCAAUUUGUGGUCAAACUUUGAAAUCCUUAAGCCUUUAAGCUUCAAAUUUUCGUCAAAUGGCGAUAAUUCAAGCUAGGAACUUCCGAAUUUGAUUUCGGUCAUACGCCCAAGUCCCAAAUCACGAUACGGACCCAUCGAAAUCGUCAGAAUACUGAUCCGGGUCUGUUUGCUAAAAAUAUUGACCGAAGUCAACUUAGUUGAGUUUUAAAGCAUUAUUUCUCACUUUUAUCAAUUUUUCACAUAAAAGCUUUCCGAAAAAAUAUACGGACUGUGCACGCAAGUCGAGGAAUGCUAAGUGGUGCUAUUCGAGGUUUCAGAUCACAUAAAUGAAUAUUAAAUUUAAAAAUGACCUUUCGGGUUAUCACAUGUCCACGUUAUCUUUAUGAAUUCGGGCGACGGAUUUCGAAUCGCCUAAAAUUUUGUGGGCCAUCAGAAACGACCUAAUGAACAAUAGUCAUUAAUUCUUCAUGAAUGUUCCUCAUUUUUUGGCAUUUUAGGACUAUAAAACAGGAAUUUAUGACAAUUUUUAAUUUUGUGUGUACUAAUAUCCACGCCAUCUUCAUGAAAUCGGGCGACGGAUUUCGAAUCGCCUAAGAUUUUAUGGGCCCAUCAGAAAUGACCUAAUAAACAAUGGACAUUGCUUCACCAUGACUAUUCCUCAUUUUUUGGCAUUGUAGGGCCAGAAAAUAGAAAUUCACGACAGUUUCCAAAUUUUUAUGUGUUUAUGUCCGCGCUAUCUUCAUGAAUUCGGGCGACGGACUCCGAAUUACCUAAAUUUUUGUGGGCCCAUCAGAAAUGAUCUAAUGAACAAUAGUCAUAGUUUCUCCAUAAUCGUUUCUCGUUUUUUGGCGUUUUAGGGUCAUAAAAUCUGAAUUCACGGUGAUUUCCAUUUUUUCAUAUGCUAAUGUCUAUGCCAUUUUCAUGAAUUCGGGUGUCGGGCUCCGAAUUACCUAAACUUUUAUGGACCCUUCAGAAACGACCUAAUGACAAUAAUUAUAGUUUCGCCAUGAUCAUUUCUCUUUUUUUUGUUUUUUGGUUUUAGGGUAUACCCAAAAAUUUUGAGAAGCAAUGAGUAUUUAUCACUAGUCCGUUUCUUAUGGACCUGUGAAAUUUUAAAUCAAUCGGAGUUCGUAAAUUUUAUUUUUUUACAAAAUUAAUAUGUACUAAUACAUACGAAAAAGUGAAUAAUGACAAAUUCGUGUUGCAUGACUACAAAACACCAUAUAAUGAACAAGAAAGCCAUGACGAAGCAAUAAUUAUUGAUCACUAUGAAGGUUCAUAUAGACUUACGAAAUUUUAAACCAAUUGGAGUCUGUCGAAAAAAUUCUACAAAAGCAACAUGUACUAAUGCACAAGAAUAAGUGAAUAUAAUCACAAAUUUGUAUUGCAUGACCCCAAAAUACAAAAAAGAAAAUCCAAAAAUCAAGGCAGAGCGAUGAGAAUUGGUCAUUAGGUUGUUUUCUAUGGACCUACGAAAUUUCAGACCAUUCAGGGUCUAUAAAAAAUUUCUACUACUGUAAUAAAAAAUUCUAUUACAUUCGCAAUAGGAAAAAAGGAAGAGAAAAAGGAGUAAUGAGGAUUGAACUUUAACCUACUAUGAAAGGAUUUCCAUUAAUAACACGAUGGUUGGUGGAAGAAGAACUAAUAAAGGGGACAAUGAAUUCACGGUUAAAUUAAAUGAUAUAUAUUCUCAGUUUAAUUUUUAAUUACUAAAAUUAUAUUACUUGAUUUAAUAUAAACAUCAUGUGUUUGAUAGUUAUGAGUGCAUUUGCAUGAAUAAGUCAUUAAAUAUUAUCUUUCUUAAAGGCAUCUCGGAAAUUUCAUAAACUUAUGAAAUAUUUACAAAAAGAUCAAGACAUCAAGUAUUAUCUUUAUCAAAGCCGAAGUGAUCAAAAGACGUUUUCUCUCGAGAACAACUUAAAUAUAGUCGAACGCUUCUUGACAAUUAAAUACUUUAAAGAAAAAAAGUCAUUAUAAUCUGUAUCACUCUAUAAAUAAUGAAAGCAGGAACCCUAGAUGUGGGCAGAUUGACUUAAUAUUUCAAUAACAAUCAUGCCAACAAAUACAAAAUUUAUAUGGAAAUCCAUGAUAUUCAUUGCAUUGUGGUUCAGGGUUAAGUUCAUUAUAAUCAUUUAAGCACUGUGUAAUGCAACAAUUUUCAUCACAAUACUCGUAAUUGCAUGGACCUAAAUUCCCAGCACAACGAUAAUGGUAAUCAUCCACUUUUGUCGAAUUUAUUCCUCUAGCUAAAACCCUAGUCAUUUCCAUAGGAGCCAAAUUGCUAUUUCCCAUGCCAACUACAAUAAGAAGAAAAAAUAUGAAAAGCAAAAAAUGAAUCUUGAUAAAAAGAAUUAUAUGAUUAAAUGUAAAAUCAUAUAUAUGUAGGGUUCUUUUGAUUGAUGGUAUUGAGACAAUUGACCCUAGCAUGUAUAUUGUGUAUAAUUAGUAUAUAAUUUAUAUGUACUGGGUAAAAAAAGUAAACAUGAAUCGAGCCGGCUAUCUGUGUAAAGAAUCCAACAUAUACAACCUCUUGUUGACCAUAUAAAAAAAAAAUAAUCACCACAUAACUAACGCAAUAUUUGAUCGACGAUAUUAAAUGAUAUCAGUAUUAAUAGCUUGUUUGGCCAAGCUUCUCUUUUGGACAAAAGUGCUUUUUUUUAGUCAAAAAUGAUUUUUUGCCAAAAAUUUAAGGUGUUUGGCCAAGUUUUUUGAAGUAAAAAAAAAAGUGAUUUUGAGUAAAAGCAUAAGCAAUUUUGGAGAAGCAGAAAAAAGUAGCUUCUCUCCAAAAGCACUUUUGAGAAAAAUACACUUAGAAACACUUUUUAAAAACUUGGCCAAACACUGAUUGUUGCUCAAAAAUACUUUUCAAAUUAAUUAGCCAAACACAAAUUACUUUUUACCAAAAUUACUUUUUUUAAAAGCACUUUUGAGAAAAAUGCUUCUCAAAAUAAACAGAUUUUAGAAGUUUGGCCAAACAGGUUAUAAGUCAUGUGUGAAUCUAUUUAUUCUUUUAUGCAUGAUUGAAUGAGCAAUAAAAAUAUGUGUAUUAACAAUGCGGAAUUAAGUAUUAAUUUAAAGAUAAAAAUAUCCUUUUAAAAUAAGUAAUUUAUAUAACAAUCAUAACGUUAUUAAUCAUCCCAUAAACAAUCAAUCAUUAUAAUCCCAGCAUAAUUAAUAAGUGAACCAAGCGAUCCCAUAAAUGUCCUAAAUCAACAUUUCCUUAGCCUAUAAAUUAAUGACGGCUCAGAAGGCCUAGAUAUUAUUUUCCUAUCCCACACUAGCUUUCUUUAAAACCUAAUUUUUCUGUUCCAAUUCAUGCGGUACUUUUCGCUUUUCCAAAUUUAAACUAUGUAAUUUUAACCAUUAUUUUAAGAUGUACUAUUUUUAAAACAAAUUGGCAUGAAAAGAAUUACGACUUAUAUAGUACUUUUGUAUAGUUUUUGAGCGAAAAGUGCCAUAAAUUGAGACGGAGAGUACUUUUUAUUGAUAUUGAAUCACCAAUUCCUAUGGGAAUAAAAUCAGAUACUAGACCGAGAAAAAUGAAUUUUCCAAACUUUCCACCGGUAUGAACUGUAGUAAUUAUUUAAAACCAACUGAUGAACAUAUAUGAUGUCUUAAAAUGUAAAUUACAUUGAAGUUUGAAUCCAAAUAUAGCUGAACGAAUUUGAACUCUUAAAAGUUGUAAAAAUCGUAUAAAUAAUGUCAUUAAAUAGUAAUUUAAUGGUGUCAAAUAUUAUGAGACGCCAUAUAACAGAUAAUUUUAUCAGAAAAUAAAUACGCACCUGACAAAAAAAUGUGAAGAAGAAAGCAAACCGUUGUAGAAGGAAACAAAAUAGCCAUUCUGAGUUGUGAAAAAAAUGGUAUUGAUUUUGCAGUAGUUUUAUUUUUCUUGGAAAAGUUUGGCUAUAUAUUGCUGAGAAAUGUAUUAGGGUAUUGAUUGGAUAGGAUUUAGAGUCAAAAAAAGG